rnacentral:rRNA from 1 species
AUUGAACGCUGGCGGCAGGCCUAACACAUGCAAGUCGAACGAGUGGCGGACGGGUGAGUAAGGUCUGGGAAACUGACUGAUGGAGGGGGAUAACUACUGGAAACGGUCGCUAAUACCGCAUACCAUCAGAUGUGCCCAGAUGGGCUUAGCUUGUUGGUGGGGUCACGGCUCACCAAGGCGACGAUCCCUAGCUGGUCUGAGAGGAUGAACCGCCACACCGGAACUGAUACACGGUCCAGACUCCUACGGGAGGCAGCAGUGGGGAAUAUUUCACAAUGGGCGCAAGCCUGAUGCAGCCAUGCCGCGUGUAUGAAGAAGGCCUUCGGGUUGUAAAGUACUUUCAGCGGGGAGGCGUUACCCGCAGAAGAAGCACCGGCUAACUCCGUGCCAGCAGCCGCGGUAAUUC